CUGAAAACUUUCAGAUGCUUCUUCAUUGUUUUAGUCAUUUACCACUUUAAUGAAAUUAUCUGGCAACUUUAUUGUGGUGGGUGGGGAUCAAUGACGGUGUAAUGAGGCAAUUAGCAAAUUCUGAUAGUUCCAUCUACUCCAUGUGAAAGUCUCUUGAUGUUUUAUAUGGUACUCUUAUUAAUAAUCCCAGAGAGCAGGGGUUGGCAAACUAUGGCCCAUGGGCUAAAAUGGUUUUUACAUUUUAAAAGGGUUGAAAACUUUAAAACUGGAAGGAUACAUGACAGAGACUGGAUGGCCUACAAUGCCUAACAUAUUAUCUAGCCCUUUACAGAAAACAACUGACCAAUCCUUAUGAGACCAGACUUGCAAAAAUUACAGUAACAGAGUGAAAAACCUUCUUGAAGUGUUAGGAGGAACUUGAGUCAUAAUUUGAUGUUGAAUCAGAGAGAACAACUGUUUGGGCUUAUUUGCCUCAGAGGUAUUUGCCCAGCCUCUGGUAACUAUCAUUCUAUUCUCUACCUCCAUGAGAGCAACUUUCUUAGCUCCCACAUGUGAAUGAGAACAUGCAAUAUUUGUCUUUCUGUGCCUGGCUUAUUUCAGUUAACAUCGUGACCUCCAGUUCCAUCCAUGUUGCUGCAAAUGGGGAUUCAGAAUGUGUUGCUGGACUUCAAGAUAGGAAGAAUCUUUGCCUUGAUGGCUGAUGACAGUAACCACCCCAUCUACCAUCAUCUAUUAAGGAUUUACUGUGUGGUCACUUUACAGUCAUCCAAGUAAAUUUUCAUAAUCACCUGAUUACAUGGGUACCGCUUUUCAGAAAAAGAAACAGAUUUCUGGAGGGGAUUCAGAAUCCAUGGCUGGAAGAGGUAGUAAGGCCAUUGGGAGGGCAUGCCUCUCCUCAGCCCACCCCCACCCUGUGUGGGUCUCCAUUCUGAAAUUUCCAUUCAGGAUGACCCGGUCCUAGGCAGGGACCAAAAUUCCUUGUCAGCUGAGGAAGUCCUGAAGAAACAUCCUGAAGAUGAUGACUGCACUGCCAUCGUGGGCAGAUGCAGCUUCCAUCUACCUGAGGGCUGAAGGGGAAAACCUUUCACACACGUGAGGAAGGCGCAGCUCUGUGGAAAGGUCACUAGAAUGGCAGCGGCAGCAAAUAGGGCUCCAAUGCACGUUUGCAGUUAACUGGGUCCAAGGAGAGCAUGGCCCUCCACAGCAAGUUUGCUCUAUAGAAUAAAGUCCUGAGCUUGUUUUUAUCACAGUUAGACAGAGAAUGGUCUCUUGUUUCUCAGUUAUCCAGGGAAGAACAGUGUAUAUUCUCUGUAGAUGAGUGUUGUCUAAUGUAGUGAUUAAUCUCUGCUAGUGUUAGGAAAGCUCCACUACUGUGUGUGUGUGUGCGUGCAUGCGCGUGCGCAUGUGCACAUACUGCAGUCUUGACUUUCCAAUUACAAAAUGCCUAAGUCAGGUCACAUUGUCUUCUUCCAGCCAGUUUCUAAGGCAGGCAAUGGAAACAGGAGCCGAUGCCAAAUGGUCUAGAGGCAGAAGGGCUGCAUGCUUUGCAGGGCCAGCCCCAAGGCUGCCUUCCAGAGCUGCACUUUCUCUGGGGACAGUAAACUCUCACCGCAGCUGCCAGCCCCCUGUGCUUGGCCAUGCCCCUCACAUGGACUUGGAAUCAGUGUCUCUCUUGCUGAUGAGCACCUCCAGGAGCCUCAGUUUCGCCUUUAUGUGCUUAUAUUCACUGUAUUCUUCAGCCAUAGGAGUGCGGUCUUCCUUCUGGACAUUUCUAAUGCAAAUAAAGGAAAAAGGGGUCUGAGGAUCAUUUUCUGUCUUUGCUAGAUACUAUUCAUCGGGCAAAUUAUCAUUGUUUAGAAACUUUGCAGUUUAUCAACUUGUAGAAUCAGUGUUGCCGAGUGGCCCUUGGUCUCAAGACUGGGGCUGGAUUUAGACAAGUAAUGAAAAUGUUUCACCCAGAAGGCAACAUGCAACUGAGUUUUUAUAUAGUUAAUCUGGCAUCCUGUAUGAUAAGAAGGCUAAGAAAUGCAGAAAUUCUCUCUGCUAAGUAUGAAUUCACAUUGAGCUCUCAUACACCAAAAUCUUUUAUUCAUACUUAAUGUUUUCUCAUUCUUAUAUAUUUCAUCUCGUGAAAUUUUAAAUUUUUAAUUAGCAACUGGUCCACAACUUAGUUUUUUUUUUUUUUUUUUUUUCCAAAAACAGAUAGUUAAUACUCCUACUUAUCAUAAAACUGUGUUAGAAUUCAGCAGCUGGAUUACAUAAUACUAUUAUAAUAAGCCUUUAUUAUUGAGUAACUUUACAUACAUAAUAUUUAUAUGCACAAGUAUUUGAGAGCUUAUAGGUCAAGCCCUGUGCUAAGUACUUUGUACCCAUGAUCUGAUAGAACCCUUAUAACACCUUGAUGAGAUGCAGCCAUUUUCUACACACUACACAUGAUGAAACCAGCACAGGAAAUCAGAUAACUUGCCUGCUCUUGGCCACCACGCGGUGCGCUGCUGCUUUGUGUUUUAUGGGAAAUUGCACAUGGCAAACAUUCAACCAUAGGCUUCCUGCCUUUAUUAUUAAAGGGCAAAUAUGGGUAAGGAGGAUAGCAUGGGGCUUGAUUUGUUCAAUGACCUAAAAAUAAACUGAUCUUAUUCAUACCCUGCCUUGUUCUAGGAAAGGAUUCUAGUGGCUUCUCAGCAGAGGGCAGGGCAAGGAACAGGUGCUCAGGAAUUGGAGCAUCUGGCACGCAGGCCCCCACUGCACUCUGAGGGGCUUCACUCUCCUCAGACACGAAGUCAUGGAACCAGAGCUUAUCUCCUAAGUCCCUCAUAGUUCUAAACUUUUUUGACAAUUAAGUUAACGUCCUCCAUUGACAUUUUCUUAAAACCUGGGUGGUUUGCGUAAUUCUACAUGUAUAAGAUAUCUGUGCAUAAUGUGACUUAGAAUAAUAUAAAAAAGGAUAAGCCAAAAAAUAGGCUUAGAUGAAAGACUGGAAAGAUACACGUCAAAACAUUAAUUCUGACUUGUCUUUGGUUAUUAUUGUUUUGGGAAUUACUACUUAAAUUUGCUUACCUAUAUUUUCUAAAUACUGUGCAAUGGGUGGGAAAUGAAAAGCAAGUGUUUAGGUAUAAAAAUAUAUGAGACAUAUCCAAAUCAGAGAUCCUAAAAGUAAAUUCAUACAAUAAUUGUUAAACUAAACUGAAAUACAAUAUAUUUUAAAUGACAAAGUU
rnacentral:lncRNA from 1 species